rfam:Clostridium cellulolyticum H10, complete genome.
GGUCAAGCUACUAAGAGCAUAGGGUGAAUGCCUUGGCACCAGAAGGCGAUGAAGGACGUGACAAGCUGCGAAAAGCUACGGAGAGGCGCAAAUAGCCAUGGACCCGUAGAUAUCCGAAUGGGGGAACCCGGCCGAGUUAAGCACUCGGUCAUCGUUACAUGAAUCCAUAGUGUAACGAGGGCAUACGUUGGGAACUGAAACAUCUAAGUACCAACAGGAGUAGAAAUCAAAAGAGAUUCCGUAAGUAGUGGCGAGCGAAAGCGGAAGAGCCCAAACCAAAAGAUAGCAAUAUCCUUUGGGGUUGAGGACUGGCAUAAUGAUUCUGAUCUCAUAGCAGAAUGAGCAGCUGGAAAGCUGAGACCAUAGAGGGUAAAAGUCCCGUAAGCGAAAUGAGAAAAGACAGGCCAGAAUCCAGAGUACCACGAGGCACGUGAAACCUCGUGGGAAACAGGGUGGACCACCAUCCAAGGCUAAAUACUAACUGGUGACCGAUAGUGAAGCAGUACCGUGAGGGAAAGGUGAAAAGAACCCCGGGAGGGGAGUGAAAGAGAACCUGAAACCCUAUGUUUACAAGCAGUUGAAGAGCGUUAAAGCUCGACAGCGUACUUUUUGUAGAACGGUCCGGCGAGUUAUUGUAUGCAGCAAGGUUAAGUACUAGAGGUACGGAGCCGAAGGGAAACCGAGUGUUAACCGCGCGAAUAAGUUGCAUGCUAUAGACCCGAAACCGGGUGACCUACCCAUGGACAGGUUGAAGCGGGAGUAAAAUCCCGUGGAGGACCGAACCACAUGACCGUUGAAAAGGUCUGGGAUGAGCUGUGGGUGGCGGAGAAAUUCCAAUCGAACUCGGAGAUAGCUGGUUCUCCCCGAAAUAGCUUUAGGGCUAGCCUCAAGGGAAAAUCAAACGGAGGUAGAGCACUGAAUGGGCUAGGGGCCUUACCGGGUUACCGAACCCUAUCAAACUCCGAAUGCCGUAAUGAUGUUACUUGGGAGUCAGACUAUGAGAGAUAAGUCCCAUAGUCAAAAGGGAAACAGCCCAGACCAUCAGCUAAGGUCCCAAAAUCACAGUUGAGUGGGAAAGGAUGUGGGUUUGCUAAGACAACUAGGAUGUUGGCUUAGAAGCAGCCACUCAUUCAAAGAGUGCGUAAUAGCUCACUAGUCGAGUGAGCCUGCGCCGAAAAUUACCGGGGCUAAACUGUGUACCGAAGCUAUGGAUCCAUUUAUGGGUGGUAGGGGAGCUUACUGUUGUAGGUAGAAGCAAGAUCGAAAGGACUUGUGGACGAAGCAGUAGUGAGAAUGCCGGAAUAAGUAGCGAAAGUAAAGUGAGAAUCUUUACCGUCGAAAACCUAAGGUUUCCUGGGGAAGGUUCGUCCGCCCAGGGUAAGUCUGGACCUAAGCUGAGGCCGAAAGGCGUAAGUGAUGGACAACAGGUUGAAAUUCCUGUACUACCGUUAAUCGUUAUGAGAGAGGUGGUGACGCAGGAGGAUAAGUCAAGCGAUCAGCUGGAAAAGAUCGUGCAAGCGAGGUAGAAAGUCCGGUAGGCAAAUCCGCCGGAUGAUUCGAAGACGUGAUGCGGAGGGAAAACAAGUACCGAAGUGACAGAUUCCACACUGACGAGAAAACCCACUAUCCAGAUUAAAGGUACCAGUACCGCAAACCGACACAGGUAGGUGAGGAGAGAAUCCUAAGACGAGCGGGAGAAGCGUUGUUAAGGAACUCGGCAAAUUGACCCCGUAAGUUAGCGAAAAGGGGUGCCUCAAGCAAUUGAGGCCGCAGAGAAUAGGCCCAAGCAACUGUUUAUCAAAAACAUAGGUCUCUGCUAAAUCGAAAGAUGAAGUAUAGGGGCUGACGCCUGCCCGGUGCUGGAAGGUUACGGGAAUUGCUUAGAGAAAUCGAAGGCAUGAACUUAAGCCCCAGUAAACGGCGGCCGUAACUAUAACGGUCCUAAGGUAGCGAAAUUCCUUGUCAGGUAAGUUCUGACCCGCACGAAUGGCGUAAUGACUUGGGCACUGUCUCAACAACGUACCCGGCGAAAUUGUAGUACUUGUGAAGAUGCAAGUUACCCGCGACUAGACGGAAAGACCCCAUGGAGCUUCACUGUAGCUUGAUAUUGGGUUUCGGUAUUUUUUGUACAGGAUAGGUGGGAGACUGAGAAGUAGUGGCGCCAGCCAUUAUGGAGUCGCCGUUGGGAUACCACUCUAAAAGUACUGGAACUCUAACCUGAGACCAUAAGCUGGUUUAGGGACACUGUCAGGUGGGCAGUUUGACUGGGGCGGUCGCCUCCCAAAGAGUAACGGAGGCGUCCAAAGGUUACCUCAGUGCGGUUGGAAAUCGCACAACGAGUGCAAAGGCAUAAGGUAGCCUGACUGCGAGAGAAACACCUCGAGCAGGUACGAAAGUAGGGCUUAGUGAUCCGGUGGUAUGAAAGUGGAAUUGCCAUCGCUCAACGGAUAAAAGCUACCCUGGGGAUAACAGGCUUAUCUCCCCCAAGAGUCCACAUCGACGGGGAGGUUUGGCACCUCGAUGUCGGCUCAUCGCAUCCUGGAGCUGUAGCAGGUUCCAAGGGUUUGGCUGUUCGCCAAUUAAAGCGGUACGCGAGCUGGGUUCAGAACGUCGUGAGACAGUUCGGUCCCUAUCUGUCGCGGGCGCAGGAUAUUUGAGAGGAUCUGUCCUUAGUACGAGAGGACCGGGAUGGACGAACCUCUAGUGCACCAGUUGUCAUACCAAUGGCACAGCUGGGUAGCCAAGUUCGGCAGGGAUAAACGCUGAAGGCAUCUAAGCGUGAAACCCACCUCAAGAUGAGAUAUCCCACUAGCAAUAGGUAAGACCCCAUGUAGACUACAUGGUUGAUAGGUCAGGAGUGUAAGCAUAGUAAUGUGUUAAGCUGACUGAUACUAAUAGGUCGAGGGUUUGACCCA